GUGUGUGUGUGUGUGUCUGUGCGUGUGUGUGUCUGUGUGUGUUUUCAUGUUUCUGAAGGCCCCAGAGUCGGGAGUAGAGGUUGGGGUGAGGUACCCCACUGACCUCUUUCUGCCCACUUGUAUUUCCAGUGGCCAUGAGAACAAAAGGCCUUGACUACUGCUUCUGUGUUCCAAGUCCCUGGCAGCAGAAGAGAGCCCAAAGGAAUUCUUGAGAGAAUCUGAUCCAGUCAGGCAUGUCUCCAGAGUCCUACAAAACCCAGAGUCCUUCCAGGGUCCACAGGAUGUGCCUUGGGUCACAUGGCCAUCUGAGAGCCACUUGGUGGCUGAGGCUUGAGGAAGUCUGGAAGAAUGGCUCUUGGGGUGCUGGCUCUUGGUGAAGUUGUGAAUGGAGAUAGGACUGCUGUUAACUAAGUUAGAGGAAUGGACAGACUAAUUACAAUGUCACCCUCCCAGAGGGACAAGUGGCUAUAAGCAGCAGGCAUGAUGGCUGGAACUGGAUACUGAGAGCCCACAUCUUGAAUUGCAAGCAUGAACCUGAGAGAGUAAAUUGCAAAGAAGGCGAGGCCUUAAAAAUCUCAAAGCCCGGCCAGCCUGGUCUACAGAGUGAGUCCCAGGACAGCCUCCAAAGCCACAGAGAAACCCUGUCUUGAACACCCCCCAAAAUAAUAUCUCAAAGCCCAUCCCCGGUGACACACUCCCUCCAGCAAGGCUGCACCAUCUCAACUUCUGUAAAGUAUUCAAAUGACUGAGACUGUGGGGACAUUCUCAUUCAAACCGUCACAGCAAAUAACAUAGACAAGUAACUGAAAGACAGAAAAUCUCUAUUCAAUGUGGUCACACUGAGAAGAGGAACAAAAAAAGAUGUCAAAUGAACAUCUCCAUCCCCAGGCUCUGGACGGGAGGCUUAGGCUUAAGUGGAAGGCAAAAUGUAUAGGUAGCUAAGUGAAAGAUUUUAGUUUGCUGAGAGAAAAAGUUUCCCACAGGCCUUGGCCCAGGACAAGGAAAUUGGCCCCACCCCGAGGGCAGACAAACAAUCCUUUUUGGGUCACACCUGGCCAACAGACAA